rnacentral:rRNA from 1 species
AACGAACGCUGGCGGCAGGCCUAACACAUGCAAGUCGAGCGGACCUUUCGGGGUCAGCGGCGGACGGGUGAGUAACGCGUGGGAAUAUGCCCUUCUCUACGGAAUAGUCCUGGGAAACUGGGGGUAAUACCGUAUACGCCCUUUGGGGGAAAGAUUUAUCGGGGAAGGAUUAGCCCGCGUUGGAUUAGGUAGUUGGUGGGGUAAUGGCCUACCAAGCCGACGAUCCAUAGCUGGUUUGAGAGGAUGAUCAGCCACACUGGGACUGAGACACGGCCCAGGCCUCAGAGGGAGGGGAGGGGGGGGAAUUAUAAAAAAAGGGGGGAACCCGUAGUAUAGCCGGGCGGGGGGAGAGAGAAGGGGUUGGGGUUUGAAAGGCUUUUUCAGAGGGAAAGAAAAGGACGGUAAGGGGAAAAGAAGCCCCGGCUAACUCCGU